UAGGUUUAUCCCAAAACGCUUAUUUUGCUAGUGGCCACCACAAUUUAUUUCAUAACUUUGACCUCAAAUCAGGUAGGACUACCCGCUGAACUUAAGCAUAUCAAUAAGCGGAGGAAAAGAAACCAACAGGGAUUGCCUUAGUAGCGGCGAGUGAAGCGGCAAAAGCUCAAAUUUGAAAUCUGGCUCUUUCAGAGUCCGAGUUGUAAUUUGAAGAAGGUAUCUUUGGGUCUGGCUCUUGUCUAUGUUUCUUGGAACAGAACGUCACAGAGGGUGAGAAUCCCGUGCGAUGAGAUGAUCCAGGCCUAUGUAAAGUUCCUUCGAAGAGUCGAGUUGUUUGGGAAUGCAGCUCUAAGUGGGUGGUAAAUUCCAUCUAAAGCUAAAUAUUGGCGAGAGACCGAUAGCGAACAAGUACAGUGAUGGAAAGAUGAAAAGAACUUUGAAAAGAGAGUGAAAAAGUACGUGAAAUUGUUGAAAGGGAAGGGCUUGAGAUCAGACUUGGUAUUUUGUAUGUUACUUCUUCGGGGGUGGCCUCUACAGUUUAUCGGGCCAGCAUCAGUUUGGGCGGUAGGAGAAUUGCG
rnacentral:rRNA from 1 species